CCUACGGGACGCAGCAGUGGGGAAUAUUGCACAAUGGGGGAAACCCUGAUGCAGCGACGCCGCGUGAGUGAAGAAGUAUUUCGGUACGUAAAGCUCUAUCAGCAGGGAAGAAAAUGACGGUACCUGACUAAGAAGCCCGCGCGAACUACGUGCCAGCAGCCGCGGGAAAACGAAGGGAGCAAGCGUUAUCCGGAUUUACUGGGUGUAAAGGGAGCGUAGACGGCAGCACAGGUCUGGAGUGAAAUGCCAUGGCUUAACCAUGGAAGUGCUGGGGAAACUGUGCAGCUGGAGUGCAGGAGAGGUAAGCGGAAUUACUAGUGUAGCGGUGAAAUGCGUAGAUAUUAGGAGGAACACCAGUGGCGAAGGCGGCUUACUGGACUGUAACUGACGUUGAGGCUCGAAAGCGUGGGGAGCAAACAGGAUUAGAUACCCCAGUAGUC
rnacentral:rRNA from 1 species